UGAAUGCAGGCGUGCAUGUUGGCACAGGGCACGGGUCCAGAGACCAGCCUGGGGCACAACGGGGCAGGGCGGUGUUCUUUUCCAGGGGCUCUAAUUCCGUCUCUGGCACAUGUUUUGCCCACAGCACCUGGGCUGCCUCCUGCCCAGAGGGGCCGCAGAAACCUCAGCAGCCGUGUCGCAACUGUGUGGCCCCGCCACCCGGCCAUGCCAGCAGCUGCCCAGGAAGAGGCAGGUGUUGCCAAGGGUCGGGCUGCCCCGGCAAUGCCCGGAGGGAAUGCCAGGGCCCCGGGACCCCUCCCAACACGGGCAAGGAGGGGACGGGUCCGAUUCCAGCGUACCAAGACCUUCCUGCCGAGAGGCCCUGGUCGGAGUCCCUUUGUGACCUCUCCUCUCCCAGACACGAGUCAGCAAGGCCGCUGAACAAAGACAUCUUGGAGGCAAACCAUCCUUCCCUCUCGUGCACCAGUCAACACGGAUGGUUUAUUCGGAAGGGACACCUGCUCCUCCAGCUGAAGAGGAUAUUCCCUGACUUGGGCCUCCUCGCCUUCAGAGCCCUGCCGCUGCCUGGGCACCCACCUAUCCUAGACGGGACCUGCUGUGUCUCCCACGGGGGACAUGCACGCGGGGGCCCUGCUCUUGGAGAGCGCGGGGCUGCGGCCGUGCAGGGCUGUGACGCCGUCCUCGGAGGACCCGCGGCCCCCACGCCGGCUGCUCAGGGAGGGCUGGGGAAGGCGAGGCCCAGCUGUCGCUGCUCCUGGUCAUCCGCCGCCAUGGGAACCACGCAGCCCGCCAGCGCGGACUGGGGUACGACGCCCAUCGCAGAGGUGCAGCUUCCAGGCACAUGAACUUUGGAGCAUCCGCGGCAGAGACGGCGCUCCGGAUGUGCCCCUUACGCCUACACAGAUUUACUUACCUACACUCGCCGUCCACGGCACACGGAUGUAUGCGCAGAUCUCCACUCGACACUCCCCUUGAGCCAAAAGACAGGAGCAGCAGUAUAGAGAAGUCAGCGGUGGAAGGGCCCCAGCAUAUACUGUUGGCAAAGCUGAAGCCCCACCAGGUGGAAGAAGUUAACUGCGUGCUGCCCACCAGCACAGAGACCCCGGACCGGUGGGACCCAGAAGGUGGAUGAUGCUGACGCCCAGUGACCUCACCACCAGCCACUCAGAAGAGUGUCCGCGAGCUGAUCACGCCCUGCUCCUUGAAAACCGUGACUCCUGGCUCCCCCUCCAGGGUGGGACACAGUUUUGAGGGCACUCGCCCGCUGUGGCCCCCUUGCCUGACAAAGCAAUAAAGCUCUUCUCCGCUUCACCCAAAA